AGACUGCAUUGGUUCCUCAUCAUC
rnacentral:siRNA from 1 species